AACGAACGCUGGCGGCAGGCUUAACACAUGCAAGUCGAGCGCCCCGCAAGGGGAGCGGCAGACGGGUGAGUAACGCGUGGGAAUCUACCCAUCCCUACGGAAUAGCUCCGGGAAACUGGAAUUAAUACCGUAUACGCCCUACGGGGGAAAGGUUUAUCGGGGAUGGAUGAGCCCGCGUUGGAUUAGCUAGUUGGUGGGGUAAAGGCCUACCAAGGCGCAGAUCCAUAGCUGGUAUGAGAGGAUGAUCAGCCACAUUGGGACUGAGACACGGCCCAAACUCCCACGGGAGGCAGCAGUGGGGAAUAUUGGACAAUGGGGGCAACCCUGAUCCAGCCAUGCCGCGUGAGUGAUGAAGGCCUUAGGGUUGUAAAGCUCUGUCACCGGGGAAGAUAAUGACGGUACCCGGAGAAGAAGCCCCGGCUAACUUCGUGCCAGCCGCCGCCGUAA
rnacentral:rRNA from 1 species